AUCGUUUCUUGAAUCACAUAUAAGAAAUUUAGCCUGCCCCCUGAUAUUUAAAGGGCUGCAGUAUUAUGACUGUACAAAGGUAGCAUAAUCAUUAGCCUAUUAACUGUAGGCUGGUAUGAAGGGCUAGACAUGGGGCUCCUAUUUACAUUAAUUUAUUGAAUUUUUCCUUUUGGUUAAAAGACCUAAAUACUAGUAUAAGACAAGAAGACCCUAUUAAAGUUUAUUUGUCUUUUAAGAUUUAAUAUAAAUACUUAUACUUAUAAGAUAAAUUUUACUGGGGCGGUAAGUAUAAAAACAAUAUUUAUUAUAAAUGAUACAAUUAGAUUUAAUUAUUAGAGCCUGGAAGAAAGCUAGAAGACUUAGUUACUAUAGGGAUAACAGCGUUAUAUUAUUUUCGAGUUCUUAUCAACAAUAAUGUUUGCGA
rnacentral:rRNA from 1 species